rnacentral:tRNA from 1 species
GGUGGCUUAGAGGUAGAGUGCUUGCCUUGCAUGCAUGAGGUCCUGGGUUCAAUUCCUCAGCACCA